rnacentral:rRNA from 1 species
GAUGAACGCUGGCGGCGUGCCUAAUACAUGCAAGUCGAGCGAACAGACGAGGAGCUUGCUCCUUCGACGUUAGCGGCGGACGGGUGAGUAACACGUAGGUAACCUACCUAUAAGACUGGGAUAACUUCGGGAAACCGGAGCUAAUACCGGAUAACAUUUCGAACCGCAUGGUUCGAUAGUGAAAGAUGGCUUUGCUAUCACUUAUAGAUGGACCUGCGCCGUAUUAGCUAGUUGGUAAGGUAACGGCUUACCAAGGCAACGAUACGUAGCCGACCUGAGAGGGUGAUCGGCCACACUGGAACUGAGACACGGUCCAGACUCCUACGGGAGGCAGCAGUAGGGAAUCUUCCGCAAUGGGCGAAAGCCUGACGGAGCAACGCCGCGUGAGUGAUGAAGGUCUUCGGAUCGUAAAACUCUGUUAUUAGGGAAGAACAAGCGUGUAAGUAACUGUGCACGUCUUGACGGUACCUAAUCAGAAAGCCACGGCUAACUACGUG